rnacentral:rRNA from 1 species
GAGCGGCGAACGGGUGAGUAACACGUGAGUAACCUGCCCUGGACUUUGGGAUAACCCUCGGAAACGGGGGCUAAUACCGGAUACGACACGGUCUUGCAUGAGAUCCGUGUGGAAAGUUUUUCGGUCUGGGAUGGGCUCGCGGCCUAUCAGCUUGUUGGUGGGGUGAUGGCCUACCAAGGCGACGACGGGUAGCCGGCCUGAGAGGGCGACCGGCCACACUGGGACUGAGACACGGCCCAGACUCCUACGGGAGGCAGCAGUGGGGAAUAUUGCACAAUGGGCGGAAGCCUGAUGCAGCGACGCCGCGUGAGGGAUGACGGCCUUCGGGUUGUAAACCUCUUUCAGCAGGGACGAAGCGCAAGUGACGGUACCUGCAGAAGAAGCGCCGGCCAACUACGUGCCAGCAGCCGCGGUAAGACGUAGGGCGCGAGCGUUGUCCGGAUUUAUUGGGCGUAAAGAGCUCGUAGGCGGCUUGUCGCGUCGUUCGUGAAAACCCGGGGCUCAACCCCGGGCUUGCGGGCGAUACGGGCAGGCUAGAGUUCGGUAGGGGAGACUGGAAUUCCU